UGUAGCUCAGUUGGUCAGAGCGUCAGAUUCAUAACCUGAAGGUCACCAGUUCGAUCCUGGUCAG
rnacentral:tRNA from 1 species